AUACGGAGGAUGCGAGCGUUAUCCGGAUUUAUUGGGUUUAAAGGGAGCGUAGGUGGGAUAUUAAGUCAGCUGUGAAAGUUUGGGGCUCAACCUUAAAAUUGCAGUUGAUACUGGUUUCCUUGAGUACGGUACAGGUGGGCGGAAUUCGUGGUGUAGCGGUGAAAUGCUUAGAUAUCACGAAGAACUCCGAUCGCGAAGGCAGCUCACCGGACUGCAACUGACACUGAUGCUCGAAAGUGUGGGUAUCAAACAGGAUUAGAUACCCUGGUAGUCCACACAGUAAACGAUGAAUACUCGCUGUUUGCGAUAUACAGUAAGCGGCCAAGCGAAAGCAUUAAGUAUUCCACCUGGGGAGUACGCCGGCAACGGUGAAACUUAAAGGAAUUGACGGGG
rnacentral:rRNA from 1 species